UGGGGAAUUUUGCACAAUGGGGGAAACCCUGAUGCAGCGACGCCGCGUGAUUUAGAAGGCCUUCGGGUUGUAAAAAUCUUUUGUAUGUGAAGAAAAUGACAGUACCAUACGAAUAAGGACCGGCUAAUUACGUGCCAGCAGCCGCGGUAAUACGUAAGGUCCGAGCGUUGUCCGGAAUCAUUGGGCGUAAAGGGUACGUAGGCGGAUAAGCAAGUUAGAAGUGAAAUCCUAUAGCUCAACUAUAGUAAGCUUUUAAAACUGCUCAUCUUGAGGUAUGGAAGGGAAAGUGGAAUUCCUAGUGUAGCGGUGAAAUGCGCAGAUAUUAGGAGGAAUACCGGUGGCGAAGGCGACUUUCUGGCCAUAUACUGACGCUGAGGUACGAAAGCGUGGGUAGCAAACAGG
rnacentral:rRNA from 1 species